rnacentral:rRNA from 1 species
CAGCAGCCGCGGGAAUACGUAGGUGGCGAGCGUUGUCCGGAAUUAUUGGGCGUAAAGCGUGCGCAGGCGGCCCGUUAAGGCAGGUGUGAAAUCCCUGGGCUCAACCUAGGAAUUGCGCUUGUGACUGGCGGGCUCGAGUACGGUAGAGGGGGGUGGAAUUCCUGGUGUAGCAGUGAAAUGCGUAGAGAUCAGGAGGAACACCGAUGGCGAAGGCAGCCCCCUGGGCCUGUACUGACGCUCAUGCACGAAAGCGUGGGGAGCAAAUGGGAUUAGAUACCCCCGUAGUCCCUGUCUCUUAUAC